GCGGCGAUUCUGGAGAGGUUGUCCUUUUCUGGCAUCAGCGUUGCGGCUCGAGGCAAAGCUGGUCCUGUGCCUGCUGUCCAUUGCCGCUAAGGCCUGCUGCUGCCAUUCAGGCGUGUCUCUCUCUCUCUCUCUCUUUCAUGCCGCUCUCUCCACCCCAUCUUGGGACGGCCAGCUCUAAGAAUUCCUGCUACGACACUGAAUUCAACCAGGAGGUGAUGCCACACUCAAUCAGAAACUAUGCUACUGCUGAAGAGGUAUAUUGAGCCCUGCCUGGUUAACCUCCAGUGAGGUUAUUAGAGAAUUGGGAGAGGCUCAAAUCAGCAUCCUGCACCUAGUUAUCAAACCAUUGUGAAGUCUUGAUUCCUGGAUGGCCAGAAAACUUGUCAUUGGUCAAGAGCAACAUUAAGAUCUGCCUGUUACUCAUACUGAUGCUUCCUGCCCAGCAAGUUCAUCAGAGGGCGAGGAUGAAUUACGGUUGCCAUGAAUGUCCUUGUGAGGCAGUUGGGAAGCCUUGGCUGGAUUGUGAAGGAUAUUUGAAAAGUAUUUUAGAGUCCACCAGAUCAUCCAUGUGAGUGACCAUGCAGCAAAAGAAGGAGGGUCCUCUCAGUGAUUAAGCUUCCAAGUUUGCUGGAGCCAUGUUUUCUCUAAUGUCCCCACAGAACAGUGGUUGGUAGGAUGGCGGAGACAUGGACUUCAGAGAGUUCUUGGUAGAAGACUCAAAGAGCCACCUGUCAUGAGACAUCCCACUUCCUUCCCCAGGUUACUUCCAAGACUGAGCAGCCAGGUUUUUGGUAGAUGAGAACAAAUGUUUCUUCCUGAAGCCCUGGGGCUUCAGGUAGGAAGAAGGACUGCUAUACUUGUUCUCACCCUUGGCUUCUGGCUGCUCCAGUUAAACAUGGUUCCCAUUGAUACAGACAUUAGAGUGGGAAAGGACUUCGUUCAUAGACCGAAGACCCUCAAAGGAAAGUCCUUCCAUUUUGGGAAGGGUGACAUUGAUUUCGUUUAGCUGCUUAAGAUAUGUACUUGCUGUUGUCUUGUGAGACAUGACAUCUGAAGCUGAAGAGGAGUCCCUCUCAUUGUUGUCAUUGUCCCACCGGGACUGAAAGUCUCCCAGUUGAGGCAGCAUUUUAGCUUUGAUGUCUACAGGGCAAUCAUGGAUCAGGAAAUUUCUGCAAAUUAGACUUGGAAAACAAGGUCUUGAUCCUUCUUGUCUUUGGACGAAGACUAAUCAUCACUUUUGACUGAAGGUGUAGUGCUGGAGACUAUGUUGGAGGCAGCACCUGAUGCACUAUCCAUAUUCUUCCCCUUGAUCUUGUCUUAAAGUUUUCCAAAUGGAUUCCGAGGCUUGUCUUUGAUGAAAAGGUCAAACAUACUGGCAGUCAUGUUGUUUCUCAUAAGCUGGAUGUCAACCUCAAUUUCUCCUCUUUAUCCUUCUCUCCUGGUUUGGAUUUCAAGGUAUACCACCGCAUCUUCCUGCUCCCCUAGUCUGGGUGCAGGUCCUGCAGGUACACCUCGGCGAAGCCCAAGUACAGUAGCAGCAGCACCUCAAAGGUGGCCUCCUCCUCUGACACUGAGGUGGCAUACUUCUCCUUACCCACCUGAAUCACCGAGUACAUGUUGCUUGUACCGUCAGGCUCUUGGUUCUUGGCCCCUGGCCCUAUGCCUGCAACACUGUCACCUGCACGUGGAUUGGGAACCACAUAGCCCCCGGACCUGCUAAGGCCAUUAAGGACAGGAUGGUGAUGCCUCGGCUGACUGACGUGAGAAGAUUGUCAUGACCCAUGGCCUCUACUGCUGUCCUACCAACAGAAACUUCAUAAUGUUGUGCAGGCGUUACCACUACCUAGUUCCAGAACAUUGCCAUCACCCCCAAAA
ensembl:lncRNA FTX FTX transcript, XIST regulator